rnacentral:lncRNA from 1 species
GAGGAAGGAAGAACAUUAAUGCCGAAGCAAGUCAUACAAGUGAGAUAUACUUCCCACACUGGGCAUACAAUAAGCUUGAGUUGGAGAAUGAUUUGAGACCAGAUAUGGAGAUGACAGCAGAAGAAAAUGAGAUUGUAAAGAGGUUGGCGAUGGUGGGUUUAUGGUGUACUCAAACGUUUCCUAAUGAUAGACCUACAAUGAGCGAAGUGAUAGAUAUGUUGGAAGGCAACAUGGAUUCCAUACAAAUCCCACCCAAACCUUUGCUUUCUUCUCCGACUAGAUCAGUACCAGAGUAUUCCAUAUCCUGAAAUUAAGUAAACUUUAUAUUUGAUAAAUUUUUCGUCUUGUACUUUAAAAUGAAUCGUUCUAUAUUGUUGGCUCUUUCAAAUAAUCUAGAAAAGCAAGUACAAUCUCAUGUUUGACAUUGACCUGAGACAGUUACAAUAUCAAAUGGCAUAUUUAUAUGACUUUAAACGAUAAUAAGAUGUUUGUUGGUUGAUGGAUUCGCAGCUUGAAAAGAAGGAACUACAAGAAAAAAUUAAAUUAUAUAUCCCCAAAAAUUUUAUAUAAGGUUCGAAAUCCAUAUAUAACAUUUAGUUAUAUACCAUUUACAUACAUACAAAAAUCCAUAUAUCUAACUGUCAUAGUUAAGUUAUACACAGAUUCAUCAGUAUAUAAAUUAUAUACUGAUAGAAAGCUUUAAAACAAACUAAGAAACUUACAAAUACAAUAUUAUAUAAGGUUAUUGCUAUUAGUUUCAACUUUCAACAAAUGUAAAAAAAUGUAUAAUAUAUAAUUAUACUUAAAACAAAUAAUUAAAACAUAAAAAUUUUAUUGAAGGACUCUAUAAAUAGAGUUCAAAACAAAUCGGUCCCUGUACAAUAUAGAAUAUAGAAUUGAAUAUUAACUAAAUUAUAAUUUACACCUAAAAUAGAAUCAAGCUCUAAUCAAAAAGAAAACAAUUGCUGCUAGCUCUACAAAUGUUGCACAAAAAAUUAUUGGGUGGAAGACCUUCUUCAAGCUUGAUGGAAUCUGAAAACAAAUGAAGGGAUAAGAAAUGACAUAACUACAAUAGACUUAGAUUGCUUGUCAUUAGAAAAAAAACUAGUUAAAAAAAUUUCAAAUAGAUCUAUUUGUCUUAAUGUAUAAUAUUUCAAAUAGAUAUAAACACAUGGCAGAUAGAAUAAAACAUUUAAGGUAUAAAUUUGUAAUUCCUAUGCUUCAUCACCCUAAAAUGGGCAACUUUUACAUAGUUCCAAAAAGAAGCACAACUAGGAUUAGAACAGAUGAUACAACCUACGUUUUAUUAGUGGUUGAUCAAUGAAUAGCAAAGCCCUAUGAAAAUACUACACCUCAUCAUCAUUAUAAAACUAUAGAUAUUUAUAUGUUACUUAUUAUUGACUCAGCCCAUGUUAAAUAAAAUCAACAUUGCAUGUUAAAUAAUAACAUAGCCUUAUGGAAACAAUCCUUUUUUUUAGUUGUAAGUUUUCAGAAAAAUAAAAGGUUAAUUUCAUACCUCUUGCACUUUUCCUUUCCUUCUCUUUGUUUCCUGGUUGCGCCUUUCUCCAUGACAGAGCAAGUUCUGAAAAUAUAUCAUACUUGUUAUGCCUUAUAUAAUAAAAGUCCAACAAAGCUUUAAAAUGAAAAUAUUAUAGGUAGAAUUCAUUAAGACAUUGAAAUAAAAAAUAAUACUCAAGAAAGAUGGAUAAAUUGAUAAUGUCAUUUAGAGGAUACGAGUGGACAACUAAAAUGGAGAAAGGUUUUUGAAAGUUAAUUGAGAUCACAAAAUACAUAAAAAACUCAAGUUCUAUAAUACUGAUAUAGAUCAUUUAUACUAAGAGUGUUCAUCAACGAAUCCAAUACAACAUUGUGGUAAUUAGAUUGAAAUUAAAAAGCAAAAGGAAUAAAAAAAGUCUUUUUUCAUGAGACUAUUAUGAACUUGUUACCAAAGAGGAGCAUUGGCAUCUUGAAGCUACUGUGAGGUUUUGAUGAUGAUAAAAGCUGAAAAAUUGAAGACUCUAAGUGCAUUUUUGUUAAACGCAUUUUGUAGAACAAAUGUAUAGGAUAAAUUGUAAUGAUGUAAAAAGUCUUAGGAGUUUUCGUAUUUAGUGAGUCACUGCGUAAAUAAUCGAUUAUCAAGGGUGAUAAUCGAUUAUCACGAGCCAGUUUAGGAGAGAGUUGCUCGCGCAAAUAAUCUAUUAUUACACAGAAUAAUCGAUUAUCAUUGUUUGAUUUAAUACUGCCCAAGUCUCUGGAAUAAUCGAUUAUUCCUCAGGAUAAUCGAUUAUCACAUUUUGAAAACUCCAUAACGGACAUAUAUAAUCGAUUAUCACUUACGAUAAUAGAUUAUUUCUGGCAGUUGGGAGAUGUCUUUUCAGUUUCUGACCCUGGACUUAUAAAUAGAUUUUUCCACUCCUCUUAGAAAGUAACUUUUCAUUUGAGAGUAUUAGAGCUUUAUGCCUAAGGGAAGCUCUCUGUGAGUGAAAAGGAUCUAUGCCAUUUUGGGAAUACUGUUUGUCUGAGGAAGUUCUCAAAGUGAUAAAGUGUUCUUGCCUGGUCUUGUGAAUAGGAGAAGCUCGCGCUUUGUGUGUUAAAGGUCAGAGUGGUUCUCUUCAAGUUGGCAGAGCUGAUGUUUCCGGUUCGUGCGUCGAAGGAAGCUCUUCCGGUUCGUUUGUCGAAGGAAGUUUCUUGCUGCAUUCUUCUGGUUCGUUUGUCGAAGGAAGGUGUUUUCUAUUCUUUGCUCAUUUCAUUAUCUUGUAAUCUAUUCCGGUGUAUGUUCGAUUCAUCCAUGUGCCCCUUCCACUAGAAGCCUGCCAGGAGCCGCUCCUUGUCUGUGCCUCUUGCACUUCGUUCCUUAUGCACUGGCAAUCACUCCCCGCCCUCAUUAGUGCCCGGGUGUCACAUACCCACCAGCUUUCGCUUGGUUCGUCCUCGAACCACACCGUACUGGGAGAAGCUAGGCUUUGAUACCAUUUGUAAAUCAUUGUGACAAAAUCCUAUCAUUUGGUGUGAGCCUGAUAGUUCCUUUUCCAACAUGGCGAUUUCUUUAUCUAUUGUGUCCAAAUAAAAUGCUUCAACUUCUUUUGUGGAUGAUAAACGUUUGGCUUCAUUAAGCCAAUUUCGCAAUUUAUCCCAAAGGUGGACUUCCUUUUCACCAGGCAUAUCUAAAUCAUGAAAAUCCUUCAAUUUGGCCGCUAUAAGAGAAGAAAUGGUAGGAUCACGUAAAUCAGCUACUAAUAAUGUCUGAUAAAUUCACCAUCAAAUAUAUGAGUAUUAACUGGCGUACAGAGGUCAAUUAAAAAAGAAAGGAACAAUGCUCAACUUUUACCUAUCAUUUACAUAUCAUUUACAUAGAACAAAGUUUUCAAACUCGAGAGUUUACGUAAAUUCGUGGGAGUUCAGUAAACUCGACUAGUAGACUCGACUCUUAAACUCGUAAGAGUUUACUUUUGUAUGAAAAAAAUAAUAUAAAUUCGUAGAAAUAUUUUCAUACAAAUAUAUUAAUUAAAAUACAUAAGUUUCGUAAAAAUAUUAUUCAUAAAAAUAUUAUAAAACAUAAAUAAAAAUAUUUUUUAUGAUUAUUGCUCUAAUAAUACUUUAAUAAUCUUCUAACAAUGACAUUAUGGAAUGAAUAAUUCCUAUUGAAUUUGAUGUAUUUGCUUCUAAAAUUUUUUCACUCAAAAGAAGUUGCAGGCCUUAAGAUUUAAAAAAACACAAACAAUAAAUUUCAUUCCUAUAAUAAAACCAUAAUUUAAUUUUUAAAUAAACCAUUUAUAUACUAAAAUAAAAAAUUUAAUAAAACGAUAUAAAUUUCAAUUUCAAUAAAAAUCAUUUACAUAAAAAUAACAGCAUAAUUAUAUAUUGUUUCUGUAAUAGAAAAAUAAAAAUUUCAAUUUCUAAUAAAAUCAUACAUGGUACAAGGUCAGGGUUGUAAUUUUAGAAUAAGAAAACUUCACUCAACAUUACUUGCGGCUCGAAGAAGGCCAAACCGGCGAGGAAGGUGGUGAGGGUGGCGGCGAGGACGGCGAUGAGUGCGACAGUUAUCGCAAACCAGGAGACGAAACGCGACCACUCACGGCGAGCGAACGAGCAACGACCACGAUCGGCAAGCGGACCAAAUGCGAUCACGAACGACGACCACGAGCGAUGAUCGGACGAAGCGAAGCUUGACCAAGAGCGACGAAGAUCAAAGGUGGAGUGAAACAAAACAAAAAUGAAGAACACUAAUCAGGUUAUUAAACCGUAAACAAGACGACUCCUCCUUUCUUCGUCUCUACCUUUUUCGAACUCGCUAAAUCGCUGUGAAAUCGCAAUUUUGAAUGAUUCCGCUGAGUCCAUGUACGAUUCUAUCGAGUUCAGUCCAAAAACGAUUUUGGUUCCGAGUUAACUCGGAAUCCAUAACUGAAAACGUAAACUCGAACGAGUUAACGAUUUAACUCGCGAGUUUGACAACCAUGUAUAGCAGGAUAAACUAUGAAAAACGGGUGUACUUUAAAGAAGUUGUGCACAAUGCGUUCAAUUAAUCUACAGUUUACAUUCAUGGACCAUAUAAUAACUAAUUUCUAGGCAAUUGGAGGAACAUCUUUAUUAGGAAAUUAUGGAGUGUGCGAGUGAGGACAAAGCACACUGGAAAGCCAAGUAUUGAUGUAUGGAGGCAGUCAAAAGUCCUUGUAAGUUGCCGGAGCGUUACACUAAUAUCAUGAACCAUGAUGAUUUAUCUACCCCGCACAUCACCAUAUUCGACGUCUGUGAUCCUAGCUAGGAUUUUCAUAGGCCAAAACAAUUUUAUUUGAAGUGUAAGUUUGAUACUGAUAAGGAAGCUUUGAUGGUUUCUCUACUAGUUUCUGUUAAAAAUAGUACAUGAAGGAGGGAGAAGAGAGCAGAAAACAGAUCUCUUAAUAUACUAAAAACUCAAGUAGAAAACUCCACGGAACUCCUAAUUGGCAAUAAAGAGAAAACUAGGGCUAAGAGUAGACAUUAUGAACCCACAAUUAGAAUUAGAUCUUUGUGAACAUAAACAAACUUACGAGCAAACUAAAAAAUACAGAAACAUUAGAUAACAACUGAAAGGUCUUAGUGGUAAACACCUAUAUGGGGGUGUUUCUCUUAAUCUCAGUGAUGGAUUCUUUCUGUGAAGAGUGAGUUUGAAAUUAAGGGUUUUGAGCUUUGAGGUUGACUAUGAAAAGUGAAGCAGUAUGAUCGUCUCAAUUUGAGGAAAUGCUCUGUUCUCAUUCUCAUUUUCUUAGAAUUGCUCUUCAAUAGGCAUAUAAUUGUUUCUUCUUGAUUAAUGACCAUUUCUUCAUUGCGUGUAUAAUGACUGAGAUUUGAGAGAUCGGUCGAGAUAUGAUUUCUUAACCUAAAAAGUUUCCAUCAUCAGAAAAGAAGCAUCCCCUUUCACAUGCAUCAUACCGCUUUAAAAUCAAAGCAACAUCUAAUGCAUAGGAAUAAAAUAUGGGUGUUGCUCCCUCCACCUCUCCAAGUGGAUCCUGUACUUCUUCACUAUUUUAAUUUAUUUCAAAAAUAUUUUACAGCUCUUUACUAUUUUCUUUUAUUCCAAAAAUAUUUUGCACCUACCCACUAUCCUUAACAAUUUUUCUCUUUCUCUCUCUCAAUUAAUGGAGCAUUUACAUGACUCAUUAAUGGAACAUUUACAUGACUUAAAUUUGAACUUGUGAUAUAUUUUUUUAAAUAAGUUUGAUUCAAUCUUAUUUUCGUUGUUGAAUAUAUUUUUUUCUUUUCAAAUUACUUAAUAAAUGNNNNNNNNNNNNNNNNNNNNNNNNNNNNNNNNNNNNNNNNNNNNNNNNNNNNNNNNNNNNNNNNNNNNNNNNNNNNNNNNNNNNNNNNNNNNNNNNNNNNNNNNNNNNNNNNNNNNNNNNNNNNNNNNNNNNNNNNNNNNNNNNNNNNNNNNNNNNNNNNNNNNNNNNNNNNNNNNNNNNNNNNNNNNNNNNNNNNNNNNNNNNNNNNNNNNNNNNNNNNNNNNNNNNNNNNNNNNNNNNNNNNNNNNNNNNNNNNNNNNNNNNNNNNNNNNNNNNNNNNNNNNNNNNNNNNNNNNNNNNNNNNNNNNNNNNNNNNNNNNNNNNNNNNNNNNNNNNNNNNNNNNNNNNNNNNNNNNNNNNUUAUUUGUUAAAGAUUUAAAAUUUAUUUAGUUCUUUCGUCAUUAUAAAGUUAGUAUAUAAUAAUAAUAAUAAUAUAUCAUUAUUUACUAUUAAUAUUAUUAUAUUUAUUAUUUUAUAUUUGCAUCUAACUUUUAAUUUUAUAAAAUGAAAAUGGUAGAAGUACUAAUAUUGAAGUUUCCUCUUAAUUUUAUAUUUGGUAGUAUAUCACAAAUUCAAAUCUGAACCAUAUAAAUGCUCCAUUAAUACAGAGAGAAAGAGAAAAAUUGUUAAGGAUAAAGGUGUAGAAUAUUUUUAGAAUAAAAAAAAAUAAUGAAGAGAUAUAGAAUAUUUUUGAAAUAAAUGAAAAUAGUGAAUAACUGGAGGAAGCAACACCCAUAAAAUAUAUGAGAAUGGGCUGAGGAUUUCUAAUAGUCGUCUUGAUAGAGGGUCACAACCUUCAUUAAAUGUUACAAAUUUGGACAGCUGGAAAAUAAGACAGGCCAACAACAAGAUAGGGAUAACUAAAGGACGAUGAUAUUUUAACAAUAUUUUUUGAUAACUUUAUUCCUUAAUUCUUUCAAUUUGGGAGAGAGGGAGACUGGGUCGUGUUUGUGGAAUGUUGAAAUGUAAAAUGGUUUGGGAGUAAAGAAAGUAAGAGGAAAGAAUGAGGUAGCUUCGUGGGAGAAGUGAGAAGAAGUGCUUCCAUAGCUUUCAUUUAUGAGAGAGAGGGCUGUGAGGGAACUGAGAAGAAGUGUGAGAAUGGAUGAUAAACAUACUCACAUACACACCUCUCCCCUUGCCUUCGCACUUACCGUCUCUUGCUUCUUCUGCAUCGCUUUGCCACAUUCCCACUCUCAACCAUCGCCACCGCCAUCGUCACCUCCACCGCCACGGCCACCGCUUUGUGCUGAGCAGUCAUACAAGUGCACCAUAAUGGUUUCCCACAUCUUGGAUCCUGUCUGGAAACAGAUUCCUCCCUCUCAGUGUAUCGGCGCCGACCCAUCACCCCAGCUCAGCUGCUCUGCUCCUUAUGAAUCUCAAAAUUUCACACUGAAGACGUUCGACAACACCACUCACACCAUGACGUUGGUGCCAACACACACUGUCAAUGAUGUUUGUUCUCCUGAUUUUUUUCACAUUUACGACAACUUGAACAACAGUCUGUUACAAUAUUACGAGUCAGCGCACAAAGUCAUCGUAUUCUUCGAUGGUUGUCCUCUCGAUAUCCCAUAUUUUCCUUUAGAACACAGAUUUAAAUGCGAGGAUACUGUUUACUAUUUUGUGGAGGAGGAUGAGAUGUUGUACACACCCACAUCGCUUCUGGAUUGCAAGAAAAGUUUGGUCGUGCCCACUGCCUCUAGUCUCGAUGAUUAUGAUAAUAAAGAUGGUGGAGCUGAAGUUCUGAAAGAAGCUCUGAGGGAUGGGUUUCAGGUCUACUAUAGUCCUCCUCAACACUGUAGAGGAUGCGACCAAAUUAACGCAAAUUGCUGGACCGGUGGUUAUGAGGUAGAUGUAGUUUCAUGCACCUCACUUAUCAGAGAAAGUGACGAAGGUUGCUCAUCAUAUGAUUAUGGUUAUGUUUCAUGCAACUACUAUUGCCCAACUCAAUACUGUUCUCCCAAAAGCAAAAGCAGUGGUAUUACUUCUCUCCUCUCAUAUAUAUCUUACAUAUCAUUCCCACAAAAUCUUCUUUUUAGCUAAUCUCUUCCCAUUCUCCUUCUUUAAUCUAUUACUAUCGUUUAACCAACACAACUUUGAAUUAUAAAGUUUGUCAUUCAAACCUAAUAUUGAAUAUUUCUGUGCUAUAUUCAAACCUAAUAUUCAAUAUAGUAGUAGUGUUUGUUUAUCAAGUUAUGGAUAUAUUAGUGUUGCGAGGGACUUUACCUAUAAUUUUUUAUCACACCCUUUGUUCUCUUUUUCUUUUGUUUUUCGUCUGCCUCUACCAGUAAUCAUUAAGAAAAAGAAAUUUUUUUCAAUAUUAAUAUAUUUUAAAAUAAAAAUUGAAGCUUAUCUAAGAUAAAAGAAAAAUACGAUUGGUUAACUAAAUAGUAUCACACAAUUCGUUAUCGUUUAUAUUUGCGAUUUUAAUUUUCAAGUUAAAGAAAAUUUCAUCCCUAAAUUUUACCAUUUUCUAUAAAUUCAAACCACAAAAUCUAAUUUUCUUAAUUGAUUUUCAAAUUUUAUCCAAUCUAUAAAUAAGCACAUUAUUUUAAUUUUUUUCUAAAUAAUUCUUAAAUUGUUAUCUUUAUUUUAUAUAUACACACCUAAAACUUUAAUAUUAUUAUAAUUAUUUCUUUACGUAUAUCUUUUUAUAAAUAAACUUUAUGUUAAAUAUUUUUAUUAAACUGCUGCUGGUAUUAUUAAUAUUUUUUAACUCAAAGUUUUCAAUAUAUUAUUUACAAAAACGUACUUAGUCUUAAAAAAUAAUUACAACAAUUUUAAACUUUUAGGUACUUAUUAAAAAAUUAAGAAUUAUAUAUAUAUAUAUAUAUAUAUAUAUAUAUAUAUAUAUAUAUAUAUAUAUAUAUAUAUAUAUAUAUAUAUAUACGUUUUAGAUCAAUCACGAUAAAAUUUAAUAAGUACCUAAAAGUAUAAUAAUAUUUAACAUAAAGUUUAUUUAUAAAAAGUACCUAAAAGUUUUUGAUAAGAUCAAUCAUAAAGUUUAUUUAAAGGAAAAUAAAAUUUUAACACUAUUUUUUGACAUCAUUUUGACACUGCACACGUGUCAAAAUGUGAUUGGACGAUUUUAAAUUAAAAAAGUUGAGACAAGGAUAUAUUUGGAAGAGAAAAACCAAAGUUUGUUUUUUUAAUUUGAAAUCGUCCAAUAACAUUUUGACAUGUGUACAGUGUCAAAAUGAUGUCAAAAAAUGGUGUCAAAAUAUCAUUUUCCAAUUGAUGCUGAAACCAAAUCGUCCAAUUAUUCUGGUUUUCUCUUUACAAAUAUUACUUGAUUUUAGCACAUUUCUCUUUACAAUUUACAUAUUCCUCAUGUUUUUUCUUACACAUCUUUACUCAAAAAAUAACUGGAAGGUUUUUCAGUUACUAGCUUUUGUUGACUUGAAUGCACAUUUUUCCAGGUCUUGCUGUGCUUUUCUCUCUUGGUCCCCACAAUUAUUAGCUGGUUGUUCUGUUUUCUUUCACUUGACCCAGUCAACAAGAAAAUCAUUAAUUAUUAUGCUUUAAAAGAUAAUCAGUUAUGUUAAAAGUUAUAUAAUCUGAAUGAUUUGAUACAAGAAAAUUUGACAAAGUAGUAUGUCUCCAUCGUCUUUAAAAUUAGUUUACCUUUUCUCAUUUAACAAAAUUACAUAUAUCAUUCCACCUCUCCUCCUCUGGAAAAUAAAUCAUCAGUUAUCACUUCUUAUUUUUUGAGUAAUUUUCGUUUACAAAUAUGUGUUUGUAAUCUGUUUAUAAUGCUUAGAUUUUCACGUACUAUUCCAGGAAUUGGUGUUGUUGUUUCGGGAAAUAAGCUAUGCCUAAACUUUUAAGCACUAGAUUUUUAAACAAGAACUGAAGAUCAUGCAUCUCUUUGUAUUACAAUUUUCGAAAUCAAAUUGUUUUGAUUUGUGUUAAGAAAAUAAGUACAGUUCAUAGAGUGAUUCCUUUGGAUUUAGUUCUCUAGUUUGAACAGAGGUUUAUAAUCUAGAAUAAGCAUUUGAAUACUGUAAAAUGAUAGUAAGUUUUAAUGUUGAAAUCCAACGUAUAAUAUAAGAUUUAAAAUGUAAUUUAAUGAUGAGAAAAAUAUACACUAAGGUAGAAAAUUCGUUUUUAUUGCACCCAAAUGCUUCUUUCCUCUGCCAUAAAUUUUAAGAUUGCGCUGCAAAGUGAAGUAGAAAGAUAUUGUAAUUCCUCUUCCAAAAGGUAGGUGACUGUAAAAGUAGAUAUAAUGUUUUCAUUUUAUCUGAACAAUAUUUCAACAAAAUUUUCACCAAUAUUAGGAAUCUGAUGAAUUCCUCUUUCCUCAUCUACUUUUGCAGGAAACCAAAAGCGGAAACUCAUUAUUUUUGGUAAAUCUAAAUUUCCUUUUAUACUUUCCCACGUUCACUAGUUCCUGAAAUAUUUAUGACACGCUAUUUUCUUGUGCUUCUCUCUCAUGUAUUCAUAAUUAUAUAGUCCUAAUCAAGGAAAAACAAUAUUUAUGUGUACUCUCUCUGAUCAAUUUAAAUUAUCUUAAUAGUUUCCACUAAAUAUUUCAUAUCGAUCUCUAAUAAAUUUUCAUAGAGUUGAAAUGAUUAAAGUUUGUUUAUAUUUAAAUCCACUACAUAACUCUUAUUUAUAUUUGAGAUUAGAAGAAGAUUAGAGAUUGAAAACAUUUCCCAUAAACAGCUGUCCCUAUUUUAUCUGCUAACAGGUGUUACAGGUUCAGCAAUUGCAGCAGUGUUGAUAUCAAUUUCAAUUUUGUGUGUAAGAUACAAGUCACCAACCUGGCAAGCAAAUUUUGGCUUCGCUUCAAAAAGUAAUCAAAAUAUUGAAACAUUCCUUAAAAGUCAUGGCCCUCUAGCUCUGAAAAGAUAUAAACUAUCAGAUCUCAAGAAAAUGACCAACAACUUUAGAUUAAAGCUUGGACAAGGUGGUUUUGGUGCAGUGUACAAAGGAAAGUUAUGCAAUGGUACUCUUGUGGCUGUAAAGAUGUUGAGUGCAUCAAAAAACAAUGAUGAAGAAUUUAUGAAUGAGGUUGCUAGCAUCAGUAGAACUUCUCAUGUUAACGUNGUCUCUCUUCUUGGAUUUUGUUUGAAAGGUCACAAGAGAGCUCUCAUCUAUGAAUUCAUGUCCAAUGGUUCCCUUGACAAAUUCAUUUACACAACAAGAGACGGAACCCUUUCAGCCUUGAGUUGGGAUAUUACAUAUCAAAUUGCAAGGGACAUAGCUNNNNNNNNNNNNNNNNNNNNNNNNNNNNNNNNNNNNNNNNNNNNNNNNNNNNNNNNNNNNNNNNNNNNNNNNNNNNNNNNNNNNNNNNNNNNNNNNNNNNNNNNNNNNNNNNNNNNNNNNNNNNNNNNNNNNNNNNNNNNNNNNNNNNNNNNNNNNNNNNNNNNNNNNNNNNNNNNNNNNNNNNNNNNNNNNNNNNNNNNNNNNNNNNNNNNNNNNNNNNNNNNNNNNNNNNNNNNNNNNNNNNNNNNNNNNNNNNNNNNNNNNNNNNNNNNNNNNNNNNNNNNNNNNNNNNNNNNNNNNNNNNNNNNNNNNNNNNNNNNNNNNNNNNNNUUGUCAGAUGCUAGAGGAACAAUGGGGUAUGUAGCUCCAGAGAUGUGGAGCAGAAAUCUUGGAAGAGUUUCGCAUAAGUCUGAUGUUUAUAGUUACGGAAUGCUGCUGCUAGAGAUGGUUGGAGGGAGGAAGAACAUCAAUGAUGAAGCAAGUCAUACAAGUGAGAUAUACUUCCCACACUGGGCAUACAAUAAGCUUGAGUUGGACAAUGAUUUGAGACCAGAUAUGGAGAUGACAACAGAAGAAAAUGAGAUUGCAAAGAGGUUGGCGAUGGUGGGUUUAUGGUGUACUCAAACGUUUCCUAAUGACAGACCUACAAUGAGCAGAGUGAUUGAUAUGUUGGAAGGCAGCAUGGAUUCCUUACAAAUCCCUCCCAAACCCUUCCUUUCUUCUCCCACUAGAUCACUGUCGGAAUAUUCCAUCUCCUGAAAUUAAGCACACUGCAUAUUUGAUAAAUUUGCCGACUUAUAUUAUAAAAUGAAUCGCUCUGUAUAAUUGUUAGCUCUUUCCUACUAUGGUUUGGGGUCUACUAUGGUUUUCCUCAAGAUUGCAGAAGAUGCAGCUAAAGUAACGGAAGUUGCAGCAGAGAUGNUGGUAACGAUGAAUACGUAGUUUCAUGCAAAUAUAUAUUAUUGCACACACAAACACUGUUCUCCUCGUAAUAGUAGCAGUACGUCUUCCAUUCCUCUUUCUUUUUUCUUUUUUUUCCAUUUUCCUCUCACNUGAGGAAGUUUUUGUGCUAUAUUGCAAUGUAAUCUAGUGUAGUGCUUGUUUAUGAAAUUAUUGAUAUAUAAUUUUCAGCAUGAAGAUAAAUGAUAUAUCUUGUUUGUUUUUGUUUUUACUUUAUAANCUUGCGAGUGACAUUAGCUAUAAUUUUUAGUCAAAUUUUUGUUCUCGUACAUCUGCCUGUCCAGUAAUCACUCCAGAACAGGAAAUUUUGUCAUGGAUAAUAUAUUUGCUAAUGUAAUAUUUUUUAACUACAGAUUAAAACUUGACUCAGAUUAUAUAUAUAUAUAUAUAUAUAUAUAUAUAUAUAUAUAUAUAUAUAUGACUUGUAUCUUAAGCUUAAUAGACUUGUGAUGUGAUAUUAAUUUUCAAGAGGGAAAAGAAAAUUUAAUAAACAUUUUAGAUAGACCUCAAAAUUUAAUCGUCUUCAUUGAUAUUUCAAAUUUUAUCUAAUCUAUAAAUAAACAUCUUNAGUGUUAAUUUUGUUCUAAUUAAUUCUAAAAGUUUUAUAAUUUUUUUAUAAAUAUACACCCAAAUGUUUAUUCUGGUAUAAUUAUUUCUUAAAGAUAUUGUUAUUUUAUUGAUAAACUCAUUUAAGUUAAAUAACUUUUAUUAACUUAUUAUUGUUAUUACGACAAUCACGAGUAUUAUUAUUUAACUCAAGUUCUCAAAUAAUUAUUUACAAAUAAAUUACUUAGUUUUAAAAAAUAAUUAUAAAAAAAAUAAAAUUUUAGGUAUUUAUUAAAAAAUAAAAUUUAAGAAUUAAUUGGAAAAGAACUAAAAUUCAGAAUAUCUAUUUAUAUAUGGGUAACGUUUAAGAUCAAUCAAGAAAAAAAUAAAUUUUAUCAUAUUUGUUUUUAUUUAUAAAUAAAAGUAAAAUUUAGAUGAUUAUAUCUUGAAAUAAUUUAUAAUUAUAAUUAUAAUUAUAAUUUUUUAGAUGAUAAGUUUUCUAUUUUAAAUAUUAUUAUAAAAUAUUUUAUUUUAUUAAUUUUAUACAACUAAAAUAAGAUUAUAUAUUCAAUAUUAUCCUUUAAUAAGUAUUAAUAAGACAUUGAUGUUAAUAUUUUAAAACGUCAAAACUAAUGUUUAUCUCUAUUUAUUUUAAGAGCACAUUAGAAAGGCCAAAUUCAAUGUCAUCUCCCUUCGUCCAUCAAAUCCUUACUCCUCCUUCGUCUUGGAAGAAACAAGAUUAAUCUAUCAUUUUUCAUCUUCUUAAAUACUAAAUACUCUAAAGUAAACAAAGCAUAAGUCUUAGUUUUAUUCCAACUAUGUACUGUUGCGGUAUAGAAAAACACUGCCUCAAGUGAAGAAAAGAAGAGAAAGUCAAUAUAGCAUAACAACUUAGAGGAUAUAUAUAGCACAAUAUAUCUUAUUUUACAAGUUAAUUUUAAUUUUGUAAAGUUGAUUUAAUCUUAAAAUCUAUUUUUUAAUAGAGUUUUUACUAAAAGAUAAUUUUUUAUGAUUGUAGAAAUGUUUAUUUCUCUCUUUAUAUAUAAUAAGAUUUUAUAAUUAUUAUAUGUAAAAAUAAUAUAAUAAUAUAAAUAACAAUAACUCAAAGGUACGAAGAUACUCUGAUUUUAAUGAUUAAUGCAAAUUAAAUGUUAUCACUUAUGUAUCUAUCUCAAAAUAUAUUAUAAAUUUUGUAAAGAAUAUCGAAUUAAUUAUAGACUCACUUGAUAAUAAUUAUAUUUUAUUAUAAGUUAAUCAAUAUUAGAUCUAAUUGUUUUCUGUAAAGUAAUUGUUCUAUGUGAGUCACAACCACUCGUUUAAUGACAACAAUUACACUAGCUCAUGAAGUGUUUAAUAGCUUAAACCGCUAACAUUAAUGUUAAACGGGACAAUCAUGCGAUACAUUUAUUAUAACAAUAAUUUCGUCAUUUUAUAAUUUUAUAUAUUAAAAGAAUUUUGUUACUAUCUGUAUCAAUUAAAUUAUUCAUAUGCUUUUAAAAACUUUCUUUUCAUUUUUAUUCAUUCCUUGAUUUCUUUUUUCUAAUCUAAAGAAUCUCACUUUAACCUCACCUCUUUUCUUUCAAAUUCACUUUUUCACAUGCAUUCUCCAAUCAAAACAUUAGAAGAAAAGUAAAGGUUUCCAAAACAACAUAUAAAUUGAACACAUUAAUAUGCAUUUUAUAUUAAAAUAAAUAAUUAAUUAAAUUAAUUAAAAACAAUUUUUUUUAUUUAAAUGAAACUAUAUAUAAUAAUUUUUGAAUUAUGACUAAAAUUAUUAUUAAUAUAAAUGUUAUAUUAAUAUUUUUUAUUAAAAAUAUUUUUUUAACCGAUUAUAUUAUUGUGUAUUAUUAGUUCAUAGUUUUUUAAUAAUAGUUUUUAUCACUGAAUUUCAAUAUAAAUAUUAUUAUAAUAUUUAUAUAAAUAAUAAAUUUAAUUUCAAUUAAAAUACGACAAAUUUAUUAUUUGUAUAAAUAAUAUUAAUUUAUUUAUUUUUAUAAAACAAUAUAAAUUAAUAAUAUUUUAGUUUUAAAUAUUUUUUUAAAAAUAUUUAUACUUAAUUAGUUUUGAUUUUAAAAAAACAUAAUUAACAAAAUUUAUAGAAAUAUUAAAUUUUUUCUAUAUUAUUUCAUUUAAAAAAUAAAAACUAAAUUUAAAAUAUAUAUAUAUAUAUAUAUAUAUAUAUAUAUAUAUUAAAUUAAAUUAUGACAAACAACAAUUGAUAUAUAUAUUUAGAAGUGUCAUUUUUUUUUCACAAGGUGUCACAUGUAAUACCAAAAACUUAAUACAUGACAAUAAAAGAUUUUGUUAAAAUUUUUUAAUUUAUAAAUUAACGCGUAACCCUAUCAUUAACAUUAUUAAUAAUUUUUCUUAAAUAAAUUAAAUUGAGACACGACACCAUUAAAUUCUUUUUAAAAGCAAACUUGAACUUAAUACUUUUCCACCUUAUACUAAAGAUAAUAAAGAGUGGAUAAAAUCGCAGAGGUAUGAGGGGUGGUGACAAAAAUUGCUUCAGUAGCUUUGAUUUAUGAGAGAGAGAACUGAGAAAAAGUGUGAGAAUGGAUGAUAAACAUAGUUCCCAUGCCUUCGAACUCACAGUCUCUUUGUUACUCUUCAUCGCUUUGCCAUACUCCCACUCUCAACCACCGCUCUGUGCCCAGCAGCUAUACAGGUGCAACUGGAACGUUUCCGCCAUCUUCGAUCCUCGGCUUUUGUACGGAAAUAGGCAGAUUUGACUGCCAAAUUACGAAAAUAGACAAAAAUGGAAGAAAUUACAGAAAUGGGGAAGUCGUCUGGGGCAGAACGACUUCAUAAGAAGAAGUCGUGCCCCCCCUGCACGACUUCACACUGUAGUGAAGUCGUGCACCUCUAAAACGAUUUCUGGACUCUUAAUCGAUCACCAGGAGCUGUAAUCGAUUACAGCUUGUUAAAAUCGUGUCCCCCUGCACGACUUCAGCAUUAUAGGAAAAAAUGGGCCUGGUAAUCAAUUACAGACCCCUUGUAAUCGAUUACCAGGUGUUUUUUAAGUGGUAACAGCCCCUGUAAUCGCUUACCAGGGUGUGUAAUAUGGAAAAAUGGCCCUAGUAAUCGAUUACAGACCCCUUGUAAUCGAUUACCAGAGUUAUUUGAUUGUUGAAAAUCAUUUUUAUGAGGUGUUAUUGAAGUUUUGAUUAUGUUUUUUGUGUUAGACAAAUAAGAUAUUGUGGUCUUUACAAUUUAAUUAAUAAAAGAAGGAAAUUAAAAUGUAAGACAAUUUGAUAUGAAAUAUUAAAAGUAGUAGAUUUAUUAUUGAUUGGAUUACAAAAUUAACUAGUGACGAAAUGGACAAUUUCCCCUAUGAUGACCUUGGUUGCGACAGUAAGAGCAUUUUCUGGGCUGAUCCGGAGUGGAUUCAUCCAUCUCAUUAGGAAUCCUUUUUGUAGACGGUCUUCCGGAUGCCUUGCGCCGCGUAUGAGGAUCUGGUAUGAAGUUUGGACCUGUAUACGCAGACCAAUAAUCUUCAUUUUGGAUUGGGUGAAAUUGUACUUCGUAUGNCUUGUAAAUGUUAUUAAGGGUAUACACUGGAUCGAUUACUUGGGUUAGUGGUAUAUGCGAACUUGCACAAACUGCAAUGACAUGAUGACAUGGGAGACGAGUAGCUUGGAAGUGACCACAAUCACACCACCAUUCAUUUAGCCUGACCUUAUAGGAAAUUGGAUGUGGGCGAUAUUGGUGAGGUGUUGAUAUUUCUUGAACAUCAAAUUCUGAAUUUUCACGGUUGUAGCGAUGAACAUGACAAUAUGNUGAUUGUUGUUGAUUUUUCCUAAUAAUGUCAGCGAUUUCUUCAGGAAAUUGGUGGCCUGCUUGUAGCAUGUACUGUGCUCUUAGUCCUCGUUCAAGAAACCAGGAUUNUGUCCUCUCAAAUGUUGUUUUGAUGAGUGCACAAAUUGGUAAUGANCGUGCUCCCUUUAAAACUGAGUUCAUGCACUCAGCUAGAUUAGUGGUCAUAUGUCCAUAUCUUCUCCUUCCAUCAAAAGCUUGAGACCAUUUAUUUAAUGGAAUUUUAUCUAUCCAAGCAACUUGUUGUGGGUAAUGGUGUCUUAGUGCAGUAAGUUUUGCCGUAACAAUAGGUUGCUUGACCUCAUAAGCUAUAAGGAUGUAGUAAUUUUGUACAGUUAUGUUAACUGAAUAUAAACAGUAAAUUUGUAGGAAAAAAAUUUAGUAGUACCUAAAUUGAUGAAUUGCUUUUUGAGGUCGUGAUUUUUGAAUUUGUUGUUGAAGUUNGAGGCUAAAUGACGUAUGCAAUAAACAGAGUUCAAACCAUCUUCCUCCCAACCAACUUCUUCUGAUCUUAGGGCGGANAAGAUACCCUUUCCUCUGUCAGUGAUGAUGCAAAUAUUUGGUUGAGGGCAAAGAUGUUCUCGAAUUAGUUGAAAGAACCAUAUCAUGGCCUCCUUUGUCUCACCUUCAACAAUUGCAAAUGCCAUAGGAAAAAGAUUUUUAUUGCCAUCCAUUUCAUUUUAUUUCCUUUUCAAAUAAUACAACCAAAAUUAAUUUUUAUGCAAAAAACCCCCUGGUAAUCGAUUACACUUACCUAGUAAUCGAUUACCAGACAUUUAAUGCCAUCCCACUACCAGAGCCCUGGUAAUCGAUUACGCUAAUCAUGUAAUCGAUUACCAGCGGUCGCUUGUAAUCGAUUACACCAAUCCUGUAAUCGAUUACAAGCGAAACCCUACCCUAUAAAAUCAACUUUUUCUCUCUCAUAACCCACACCCAAACCCUAUCUCGCGCAGCAGCCCCCAUUUCCACCAUUGGAGCACCUCAAAAACGUCCUAAAUCCCAUCUUUUCCUACUAUUUUCAAUUUUAAACAUCAUUUUCACAUUCUACUCUCCAUUCUCUUCAAUUUUCACCGAUUGAAAUUUUGAAAUGGCGGAUUCUUCGAAGAGGCAAAGGGUUAGGGGCUCAUCUUCUACAGCGGCGGGACGUCGCCACCGUCAACCUUCACCGGUCGAAAGCUCGCCGUCACUCUCACCACCACCGUCACCAACUGAAUCGGACCUAAUUCAUCAAUUUUCGACCCCUGAACUGGCGGAAAGGUAUUUCACCCUUUUCUGUGACCGUGAGGUCAUUGAACAAAAAUAUCUUGACCAAGAAUAUUUCGAGACCCAAAAUCUGGAAUUUUACAACAUGCUGACAAAUCUAAACUUGCUUGAUUUUGUCUCUGAUGCUCCACACUAUUAUCCUGAUUUGGUCCGAAUUUUUUAUAGUAAUCUGAAAAUUUCUGAUAAUGGAACCAUUAAGACUGAGGUUAAGAAGGUUCCAAUCAUUAUCAAACCCAGUCUAUUGGCUUCCAUAGCCAACCUACCCUCUGCUGGAUUGAGUUUUGAAGGAAAAAUUCUUGAUCAAUGGGUGGAUGAAUACAGCUUGAACGCAGCAAAAAAAUUGAUACUUUUGCCAGGGAAACCUCAAGUUGGUAGAAUUACUGCCGGAUCCAUGACAGUUAAUGCUAGAAUAUUGCAUUAUAUUAUCACUCGUAUUUUUUUGCCACGUGUUUCUAACAUUGCACAGGCUUUUGAAGAAGAUGUAAUCUUGUUGUGGAUUAUUAUGACGGGGAAGCACAUCAACUGGACCCAUCUCAUUCGACAAAAGAUGAAGAAGGCGUUCAUGGAAAAUGCUCCUUUACCAUAUGCAUUUUUUAUCACCCGUAUCUUGGAACAUUUUGACAUUCCAUUGGAUGAUGAAAUUCCUGGCCCCCGAACAAGGCAAAUGCGGAUAUCGCGUGGAUCACUCGAUUCCUUUGGAUUUAAGCAAGAUGCUAACGACAUAUGGGUUCUGAAAAAUGCUCCCCGUCCUUCUCAAGGCCAAAGUGCAGCACCUCCUCAACAACAACCACCACCACCGCGCAUUCUUCACACUCAAACUUCUUCAUAUGAUGACUUGAUGAGGGGGAUCAAUGAUCUUANAACAUUUGUGGGGGACANCUUCAACACNAUGAAUGAAAACAUNAAUNCAAGACUUGAACANCUCGAGAUCAACAUGGGAGACCGNUUCGAUACAUUGGAAACUCGAGUNGAUCAUUUAGAGCAUGAGGUUCUGCGUCGUCAUUUUGGUCCACAUGGUGGACCUUCCUCUUAGAUACUUAGUAGUAUUAUUGUCCUUAUUUUAAGUUUUUCUANUUAUGUAAUGCAUUUUCAAUUCAAUAAAAUACNUCAACUUUNAUUUCCAAGUUUGUCUUUUAAUUUCCAUUUGUAAUUUCAAACAAUAAAAUUACUCUAUCGAAACAUAACAAUGUCAUAACAAAAAUUAAAUAAUUGCACCUAUAUUGGUACUCUACAACACAAAAAAAAUGAGUCAUUUACUCUGGUAAUCAAUUACAAGGGGUCUAUAAUCGAUUACUAGGGCCAUUUUUUCCUAUAAUGCUGAAGUCGUGCAGGGGGGCACGAUUUUAACAAGCUGUAAUCGAUUACAGCUCCUGGUAAUCGAUUACAGAGUCCAGAAAUUGUUUUAGGGGUGCACGACUUCACUACUGUUCAUGUGAGCAGUGUGAAGUCGUGUAGGGGGGGCACGACUUCUUCUUAUGAAGUCGUUCUGCCCCCAGACGACUUCCCCAUUUCUGUAAUUUCCCCCUUUUUGCCUAUUUUCGUAAUUUGGCAGUCAAAUCUGCCUAUUUCCGUACAAAAGCCUCGAUCCUCCCUGGGAAAAGAUUGCACACUCUCAAUGUAACGGCCCCAACAAAUCAUCCCUGCUCAACUGCCAUGCUCAUCAUGAAUCUCAAAAUUUCACAGUGAAGGAUAUCGACAACCCCACUCACACCAUGAAAGUGAUGCCAAGACCCCCUGUCAACCAUGUCUGUUCUCCUUACUUUUUUCUCGAUUACGAGAACUUCAACAACACUCUGUUCCUGUAUAACGCGCUAAUGCAUAAAAUCAUCAUAUUCAAAGAUUGUCCUACAACCUCAGAUUUCCCUUCAAAAUGCAAGUUUAAAUAUGGGGAUGAUGUGUAUUAUUUUGAGGAGGAACAGAACAAAAAGGAGAUGCUCGACAAUUACCCACUGCUUGAGGAUUGCAAGGGACGUUUCGACGUGCCUGCUGCUGGUCCUCUGGAUCGUUACGAUGACACUGGUGACGGAGCUGGAGUUCUGGAAGAAGCUCUCAGUGAUGCGUUUGAGGUCAAAUAUGGUAUUCCUGAUGGUUGCACAAGAUGCAGAGAAACUGACAGAAGCUGCUUGACAAAUGAUUAUGGUUAUGGUUAUAAUGAAUAGGAAAAACUUCUUUUAACAACACUUUUUUAACAACUUUUUGACAACGCAUACGUGGCAGUUUGUGAUCGGUCCGUUUUAAAUAUUUUUUAAACAUAAAUUCAAAUAGACCAAUAAAAUGAUGACAUAUGUCCCGUUGUCAAAAAGUAUUGUUAAAAUAUCUAGUUUCAUGCAACUAUUACCCAAAUGAACAGUGUCCUCCCAAAACAAGUAAGAAGUCUUCUCUCUCUCUUUUCUUUUUUUUGUUGUGCAUCUCUCUCACUCAGUAAUCAAUAUUAAGAAUAGGAAAAUUUUUCAUUAUUAAUAUAUUUUAAAAUAAAAAUUGAAGCUUAUCUAAGAAAAAAAAAAUUAUGACUUGGAAACUAUGUAGUAUCACACGAGUCAUUAUGAUUAUAUUUGUAAUUUUAAAUUUCAAGUAAAUGAAAAUAUAAUCCCCCAAAUUUACCAUUUUCUAUAAAUAUUCAGACAUCAAAAUCUAAAUUUCUUAAUUCAUUUUCAAAUUUUAUCCAAUCUAUAUAUUUUUAAUUUUGUUCUAAUUAAUUGUUAUCUUUAUUUUAUAUAUAUACACCUAAACAUUAAUUUUAUCAUACUUAUUUCUUAAUGUAUAUUUCUUAUAAAUAAACUUCUUUAUGUCAAAUAUUUUUAUUAAACUGCUAAUGCUGGUGUUAUUAUUAUUUUUUAACUCAAAGUUUUCAAAAUAUUAUUUACAAAAAAAAAUUACUUAGUCUUAAAAAAUAAUUAUAACACAAUUAAACUUUCAGGUAUAUAUUAAAAAAUUUAAGAAUUAAUUGAAACAAAAUUAAAAAUCAAUAUAUAUAUAUAUAUAUAUAUAUAUAUAUGUAUGUAUAUACAUAUAUAUAGAAUAAAGUUUUAGAUCAAUCAAAAUAAAAUAAAAUUUUAUGAUAUUUUUAUCUAUAAAAAAACAAAACUUCAGAAGCUUAAAUGUGCUUUUUCCCUGUGAAUAAUCUUUAGUUUCUCGGCUUAUUCAUUUUUUUUUCUACAAAAUUGGUGCUGAAACCAAAUCAUCCAAUUAUUCUGGGGUUCUCCCUCAUAGCCACAAAUAUUACUUGAUUUUAUUUCUCUUUACAAUUUUAGCUUACACAUUUACUAAAAAAUAACUGGGAGAUUUUUCAGUUACUUGCUUUUGUUGACCAGACUCUGAAGUUGACUGCAUAUUUUUCCAGGUCUUCCUGUGCUUUUGGUUCCUACAUUUAUUGGUGGUUGUUCUGUCUUGUUUCACUUGACCCAGUCAACAUGAAAAUAUUUAAUUAUUAAGUGCAGUGGAAAUAUAUAAAAGAUAAUCAAUUAUGUUAAAGUUAUAUAUAAUCUGAAUAAUUUGAUAAAACAAAAAUUGACAAGGAAGUAUGUCUCCAUCGUCUUUAAAAUUAGUUUUCCUUUUCUCAUUUAACAAAAUUACAUAUAUCAUCCCAUCUUGUUUCUCCUCCUCUGAAAAAUAAAUCAUCAGUUAUCCCUUCUUAUUUUUUGAGUUAUUUUCGUUUACAAAUAUGUUUGUAAUCUGUUUAUAAUCCUUAAACUUUCACGUAUUCUUCCAUGAAUUGGUUUUGUUGUUUCGGUAAAUAAGCUAUGCCUAAAUUUUAAGCACUAGAUUUUUAAACAAGAAUUGAAGAUCAUGCAUCUUUGUAUUAGAAUUGUCAAAAUCAAAGUGUUUUGAUUUGUGUUAAGAAAAUAAGUACUCAGUUCGUAGAAUGAUUACUUUGGAUAUUUAGUUAUUUAGUUUGAACAGUUUUAUAAUGUAGAAUAAGCAUGUGAAUACUGUACAAUUAUAGUUAGUUUUAAUGUUGAAAUCCAACGUAUAAUAUAAGAUUUAAAAUGUAAUUUAACAAUGAGAAAAUUAAACCCAUGAGGGAGAAAAUUCGCUUCUAUUGGACCCAAAUGCAUCUUUCCUCCGUCAUAAAUUUUAAGAUUGCCCUGUAAAGUGAAGUAGAAAGAUAGAAUAACUGUAAAAUGAUAGAGUUUUACAUUCAUUUCACCAAAAAAUAUAAAAUAAAAUGGUUAUAAAAAUAUAAAAUUUUUGUAUUUCUUUAAGAAAAGAAGAGAGAGAAAAAGUAAAUAAAAAUAGUGUCAAAUAAAUAUAAAAUAUUUAUGUGUGUCAAAAAAUAUUUUUCACAAAAAUAUUGUAAUUCCUUUUUUAUUUCAACAAAAUUUUCACCAAUAUUUGGAAUCUGAUGAAUUCCUCUUUUUUCAUCUACUUUUGCAGGAAUUUGGGACACAAAGAGGAAACUCAUUGUUUUAGGUAAUAAAUUUAAAUUUCUUUUUAUACUUUCCCGUUCACUAGUUCCUUGAAUAUUUAUGACACAUACACUAUUUUCUUGUGUUUCUCCCUUAUCUCUUCAUAAUUGUACAGUCCUAAUCAUGUAAAAAAAAAAUUACGUGUAUUCUCUCUGAUCAAUUUAAAUUAUCUUAUUAGUUUCCAUUAAAUAUUUGUUAUCGAUCUCUAAUAAAUUUUCAUAGAAUUGGAAAAAUUAAAGUUUGUUUAUAUUUAACUUCACUAACCAUAGCUCUUUCUUGAGAAUAUUAGAGACUGAAAACAUUCCUCCAAAGUAAAAUGGUCACAGCUGUCCCUAUUUAACUGCUAACAGUUGUUACAGGUUCAGCAAUUGCAGCAGUGUUGAUAUUAUUUUCAGUUCUGUGUGUAAGAUACAAGUCACCAACAUGGAAAGCAAAUUUUGGGUUGGCUUCAAAAAGUAAUCAAAAUAUCGAAGCAUUCCUUAGAAUUCAUGGCCCUCUAGCUCUGAAAAGAUAUAAACUAUCAGAUGUUAAGAAAAUGACCAAGAACUUCAGAGUAAAGCUGGGACAAGGUGGAUUUGGUGCAGUGUACAAGGGAGAGUUAUCCAAUGGUAGUUUUGUGGCUGUAAAGAUGUUGAGUGCUUCCAAAAAAAAUGUUGAAGAACUUGUGAAUGAGGUUGCUAGCAUAAGUAGAACUUCUCAUGUUAACGUUGUCUCUCUUCUUGGAUUUUGUUUGAAAGGUCCCAAGAGAGCUCUCAUCUAUGAAUUCAUGUCCUAUGGUUCCCUUGACAAAUUCAUUUACACAACAAGAGAUCAAACCCUUCCACCCUUGUCUUGGAAUAUUAUAUAUCAAAUCGCAAGGGACAUAGCUCGAGGCUUAGAAUACUUGCAUAAGAGAUGCAACACUCGAAUUUUUCAUUUUGACAUAAAACCACAUAACAUUCUUCUGAAUGAGAACUUCUGUGCAAAGAUAUCAGAUUUUGGGUUGGCAAAACUGUGCCCUAGGAAUGGAAGUAUCCUUUCCCUGUCAGAUGCUAGAGGAACAAUGGGGUAUGUAGCUCCAGAAAUGUGGAGCAGAAAUUUUGGAAGAGUUUCGCAUAAGUCUGAUGUUUAUAGUUAUGGAAUGAUGCUGCUAGAGAUGGUUGGAGGAAGGAAGAACAUUAAUGCCGAAGCAAGUCAUACAAGUGAGAUAUACUUCCCACACUGGGCAUACAAUAAGCUUGAGUUGGAGAAUGAUUUGAGACCAGAUAUGGAGAUGACAACAGAAGAAAAUGAGAUUGCAAAGAGGUUGGCAAUGGUGGGUUUAUGGUGUACUUAAACGUUUCCUAAUGAUAGACCUACAAUGAGCAGAGUGAUUGAUAUGUUGGAAGGUAGCAUAGCAUGGAUUCCUUACAAAUCCCACCCAAACCUUUGCUUUCUUCUCC